AACCUCUAUGGUGAAACUGGUAGACACGAAAAACUCAAAAUUUUUUGCUAUUAGCAUGCCGGUUCAAGUCCGGCUAGGGGUUA
rnacentral:tRNA from 1 species